GGGAAACCGGAGCUAAUACCGGAUAAUAUAUUGAACCGCAUGGUUCAAUAGUGAAAGACGGUUUUGCUGUCACUUAUAGAUGGAUCCGCGCCGCAUUAGCUAGUUGGUAAGGUAACGGCUUACCAAGGCGACGAUGCGUAGCCGAACUGAGAGGGUGAUCGGCCACACUGGAACUGAGACACGGUCCAG
rnacentral:rRNA from 1 species